rnacentral:misc_RNA from 1 species
AGUGUUUGAUGGUGUUUUUGUUUGAGGGAUUUGAUUGGAUUUCUUCGUUGCGAAACUCGGUGAAUUUUGUAAUUGGAAAGAAGCUUGUUCUCUGUGUGAGUAGGGUUUUACGAUGUUGUCAAGUAGUAGGUGAUUGACUUAAAUCGUUGUCAAGUGGUACGUGAUUGACUUAAACAUAGUGAUUUUGUGAUUGACUUAAAUAUGUUAAUUUGCUAUCUAUUCUCUAACUACAAGAGUAAAAAUUGAUUGGUAAAGCAUCUAUUUGUUAAUCGCACAAUUCACAAAUGUUUCUUUGGAAAUGAGAACAGGAAAAUCAGUUCCAGCUGCAAUUCCUCAGUUUAAGAUACUGAUUGUAGACACAACGGAGUAUGCAAUUUAAAAUUUCCAUUUUUGGUGUCCGUUGUUCCGUGGAGUAAUUGUUUCAUAAAUUUUGAAGCUUACAGCUUUAUAUGUUUGUUGAUCUGAGCGUGCUUAAGUACAUGAAAACUGAUUUCUUGCCUUUGGAAGUACAGACUCAGACAUGACAUGACCCGGCAAAAUGGUGAAAACAAAAAAGACAUGAAAUUCAGUGGCACAUUUUGCAAAAUAUAUGAUUCUUAUAAUUAUAUAUGCACCACCCAUACGUACAUAAGAAACUCAACAUGCAUGAUACUUAUAAUUAAUCUUGUUCAAACAGCAAACAUACCGACUAUAUGU